UGAAUACGAGACGCUAAGGCGUCGAAGUAGUGUAUGUCAUACUUCCAAGAAAAGCUUGCACUGUCAUAGAUAAAAAACGCCUGUACCAUAACCGACACAGGUGGGUAGGUAGAGUAUACUAAGGGGCGCGAGAUAACUCUCUCUAAGGAACUCGGCAAAAUAACUCCGUAACUUCGGGAGAAGGAGUGCCUUAUUCGUAAGGUUGCAAUAACAAGAUCCAAGCAACUGUUUAUCAAAAACACAGGUCUCCGCUAAGUCGUAAGACGAUGUAUGGGGGCUGACGCCCCAGUGCCAGAAGGUUAAAGAAGUUGGUUAGCAAUUGCGAAGCUGAUAACUGAAGCCCUGGUGAACGGCGGCCGUAACAAUAACGGUCCUAAGGUAGCGAAAUUCCUUGUCGGGUAAGCUCCGACCCGCACGAAAGGCGUAAUGAUUUGGAUACUGUCUCGGAGAGGGGCUCGGUGAAAUAGACUUGUCUGUGAAGAUGCGGACUACCUGCACCAGGACAGAAAGACCCUAUGAAGCUUUACUGUAACUUGAAAUUGAAAUUGGACUUUAUUCGCGCAGUAUAGGUGGGAGGCGUUGAUUAUAAUCUUGUGGGAUUAUUGGAGCCAUCAGUGAGAUACCACUCUUGUAAUGUUAGAUUUCUAACUUUGAAUCAUUAUCUGGUCAAAGAACAGUUUCAGGCGGGCAGUUUGACUGGGGCGGUCGCCUCCUAAACGGUAACGGAGGCGUACAAAGGUUUCCUCUGAACGGUUAGAAAUCGUAUCUAGAGUGUAAAGGCAUAAGGAAGCUUGACUGUGAGACCUACAAGUCGAGCAGGGACGAAAGUCGGUCUUAGUGAUCUGACGGUACUGAGUGGAAAGGCCGUCACUCAACGGAUAAAAGUUACUCUAAGGAUAACAGGCUGAUCUCCCCCAAGAGUUCACAUCGACGGGGAGGUUUGGCACCUCGAUGUCGGCUCAUCGCAUCCUGGGGCGGUAGUACGUCCCAAGGGUUGGGCUGUUCGCCCAUGAAAGCGGUACGCGAGCUGGGUUCAGAACGUCGUGAGACAGUUCGGUCCAUAUCCGGUGUAGGCGUUAGAAUAUUGAGAGGAGCCUUCUUUAGUACGAGAGGACCGAGAAGGACAUACCUCUGGUGUACCAGUUAUCGUGCCAACGGUAAACGCUGGGUAGCUAUGUAUGGAGUGGAUAACCGCUGAAAGCAUCUAAGUGGGAAGCCCACCUCAAGAUAAGUA
rnacentral:rRNA from 1 species